rnacentral:rRNA from 1 species
CGCUGGCGGCACGCCUAAUACAUGCAAGUCGAACGAAGUAGCAAUACUUAGUGGCAGACGGGUGAGUAACAUGUGGGUAUCUUCCCUUUGGUGAGGAAUAACACGAGGAAACUUGUGCUAAUACCUCAUAAGUCUUUACGGAGAAAGCUUUAUGCGCCAAUGGAUGAGCCCGCACUUGAUUAGUUUGUUGGUGGGGUAAUGGCCUACCAAGACAAUGAUCAAUAGCUGAUUUGAGAGGAUGAUCAGCCACAUUGGGACUGAGACACGGCCCAAACUCCUACGGGAGGCAGCAGUAGGGAAUCUUGCACAAUGGAGGAAACUCUGAUGCAGCGAUGCCGCGUGAGUGAAGAAGGCCCUUGGGUUGUAAAGCUCUUUCGUCGGGGAAGAAAAUGACUGUACCCGAAUAAGAAGGUCCGGCUAACUUCGUGCCAGCAGCCGCGGUAAUACGAAGGGACCUAGCGUAGUUCGGAAUUACUGGGCUUAAAGAGUUCGUAGGUGGUUAAAAAAGUUGGUGGUGAAAGCCCAGAGCUUAACUCUGGAACUGCCAUCAAAACUUUUUAGCUAGAGUAUGAUAGAGGAAAGCAGAAUUUCUAGUGUAGAGGUGAAAUUCGUAGAUAUUAGAAAGAAUACCAAUUGCGAAGGCAGCUUUCUGGAUCAUUACUGACACUGAGGAACGAAAGCAUGGGUAGCGAAGAGGAUUAGAUACCCUCGUAGUCCAUGCUGUAAACGAUGUGUGUUAGAUGUUGGAAAUUUAUUUUCAGUAUCGCAGCGAAAGCAAUAAACACACCGCCUGGGGAG